GCAACCUCCACCUCCCAGGUGUCAAGCGAUUCUACUGCCUCAGCCUUCCGAGUAGGUGGGAUUACAGGCACCCACCACUACGCCUGGCUAAUUUUUGUAUUUUUGGUAGAGAUGGGGUUUCACCAUAUUGGCCAGGCUGGUCUCAAACUCCUGAAUUUGUGAUCCACCCCCCUCAGCCUCUCAAAGUGCUGGGAUUACAGGUGUGAGCCACUGCGCCUGGCCAAUAUUUUCCUUUACAGUAGUUUUUUUUCCAGCUGAUUUCAAGUUCAAUAAAGGCUGUUUAGUUCAGUGCAGUAUGCGACGUAGAAGGCUUGCAAAAUCAAAAUCACAAAAAAAGCAAAAAAGGAAAUGUAAGCAAGUGAGAUGGUCAGUGAAAUACUUCUCAUUAUUUUUCACAGCAGCACUUUAUUGGGAAUUAAUAAACCCUUGUUGCAGCAUUUAUGGAAAACAUUAUGGAGAUUCCUCAAAAAAUCAACAAUAGAUUUACUAUAUGAUCUAGCAAUCCCAUUUCAGGGACUAUAUGCAAAGUAAAUAAAAUCACUAUCUCAAAGAGAUGUCUGGUCUCCCAUUUUCACUGCAGCAUUAUUCACAAUAUUCAAGAUAUGGAAACAACCUAAGUGACCAUCAACAGACAAACGGAUAAAGAGAAUGUGGUAUAUACAUAAAAUGGAAUAUUAUUUAGCCUUUAAAAGAAGGAAGUCCUGUCAUUUGUGACAACAUGGAUGAACCUGGAGGAUAUUAUGUUAAAUGAAAUAAGCGAGACACAGAAAGACAAAUACUGUAUGAUCUUACAUGUGGAAUCUAAGAAAGUUCAACUCACAGAAACGGAGACUUUCACUCUUGUUACCCAGACUGGAAUGCAAUGGCAUGAUCUCAGCUCACUGCAACCUCCAUCUCCCAGGUUCAAGUGAUUCCCCUGCCACAGCCUCCCAAGUAGCUGGGAUUACAGACAUGUGCCACCACGAUCGGCUAAUUUUGUAUUAUUAGUACAGAUGGGGUUUCUCCAUGUUGGCCAGGCUGGUCUUAAACUUCUGACUUCAGAUGAUUCGCCCGCCUCAGCCUCUGAAAGUGCUGGGAUUACAGGCGUGAGCCACUGCAUCCGGCCAAUUUUCUAAUAUUUUUAACUUUACUGUUUCUUUUGCAUCACACAAGUUUUAAAUUUUGGUCAAGUUUAUCAGCAUUUUCCUUUGCAGUUUGUACUUUGUUUGGUGUUAGGAAUAUUUUCUCAUUUUUAUUCUAAAACUAAAAGAAUUUCGAAGAUUUGCUUCUCAUACUUGGGAUUAUAAUUCACCUAGAAAUAAAUUUUGUGUUGAUGUAAAAUGGAUCUAAUUUUUUUUAACAGUUAACAACUGUGUUAACACAAUUUAUUACAUAUUUAACUCUUUCCCUACUGAUCUGUAACACUGCAUCAGAUAUUUGCAGUUUCCAUAAACACACAUGUGCCUCAUUUGUAGACUCAGCUUCAUUAAUCUGCCUGGCCCUGCACUUAAAGCCAUGUGGUAUAACUGUUACAGUUUUAUGGGAAGUAGGGCAAUUCCUGCUUUAUUUUUCUUUAAAAUUCUAUUGGUUUUUCUUAGUCACUUAUUCUUCUAUAUAAAUCUUAAUAUUGACUUAUCAAGGAUUAUACUAUACCCUAUUAACAUUUUAUUUUAUUUUUUGAGACAGGGCCUCACUCUGUUGCCCAGGCUGGAGUACAGUGGUGAGAUCACAGUUCGCUGCAUUCUACACCUGCUAGGCUCAAGCGAUUCUGCCAUCUUGAGUAGCUGAAAUACAGUCACAUGCCUCCAUGCCUGGUUAAUUUUUUUGUAUUAUUUUAGCAACAGGGUUUCACCAUAUUUCUCAGAACCCCUGGGCUCAAGUGAUCCUCCCACCUUGGCCUCCCAAUGUGCUGGAAAUACCAGCAUACCCACCACACCUGGCCCCAAUUGGAAUUUUAAUUAAAACUACAUUUAUAGAUUAAUUUGGGGAGAACUGACAUUUUAUAAAAUUGAAUCUUCUCAAGAAGGCUAACAUGUUCCAUUUAUCUAAAUUUUCUCUUAGAUCUUUCAAUAAAGACCUCAGAAAUCA